rnacentral:rRNA from 1 species
GAAUAUUGGUCAAUGGGCGAGAGCCUGAACCAGCCGUGCCGCGUGCAGGAAGACGGCCUUCUGGGUUGUAAACUGCUUUUAUCAGGGAACAAAAAGGCCAUGCGUGGCAAAUUGCGUGUACCUGAAGAAUAAGGACCGGCUAACUCCGUGCCAGCAGCCGCGGUAAUACGGCGGGUCCAAGCGUGGUCCGGAUUUAUUGGGUGUAAAGGGUGCGUAGGCGGCCUGAUAAGUCAGUGGUGAAAUCCUCCAGCUCAACUGGAGAACUGCCAUUGAUACUGUAGGGCUUGAGUACAGACGAGGUAGGCGGAAUUUAUGGUGUAGCGGUGAAAUGCAUAGAUACCAUAAAGAACACCUAUUGCGAAGGCAGCUUACUAGACUGUAACUGACGCUGAGGCACGAAAGCGUGGGGAGCGAACAGG